UCUGGGAGACACAGAGGGCAGUCCCUUGCCCCACCCCAGGGUUCUGAGGAAUGAAGUUAAAAACCUACUGAUACAUGAUAAGCCCCUCUUUACAGGUAGGCUUCUUACGGGAAAGACUUGCUCAAGGUCACACAGCUAGGCAGGGCCAGGAUGGGACAGGAACCCCCAACCCGCACUACCACAGGACAGAUCUUAAGGUGCUAUUCCACCUCAAGGGCCCCGCCUUGAUGUUACUGUGAUGUAGGGAAGCAGGGUGCUGAGCCAGGGCCCGGCUACCUUCCCUCACUGCCCCGACUAGGCUGGAAGGGAAGGGGUGGUGGAUAAUGAGGAGAGAACCAACCCCUCCCACCUCCCACCUGGGCAGGUCUGACAACCCUUUCACCAAGAUCAAAGUAACCCUCCCAAGUCUCUUUGAGGAGCACAGAGCAGGCGCUGCAAUUCUCAUUUUACAAAUGAGGAGAUUGAGGCUUGGGCAGGUUGACGGAACUGCUCAAGGUCACACAGCUGACAAGUGAAAGAACCAAGCCCCAGACCCCAGGCUCAGCCCAGACCCCAAGGAGCACAAUCCCACAGCAAAAUCCUAGAGUCGCUGUGGAGCUCAGUUUCCCACAUUCCAAAUACCUCUCCCCUCUCCUCAACUGGGCCAGGAGAGCCGCCAACUUGUGAGUCUCAGGCUCGCUGAACUUCAGUCGGCUGUCACCUGUAACGACACACUCCAGACUACGAGCCAGCCAAACAGAAAUCAGGCAGUGGACAGAACAAAAUUCAGCACUGACAGCUUCUCCUUCCUCUCCUCUCCAUCCUCCACCCACCAGUCGUUUCCUCAUCUGCAAAACAAGAGAACUCAACUGGGAGAUUUCUGAGGCCCUUUCAACCUUCAUCCCUUCUGCUGCAGGAGAAGAGAGGGCUCCCUACUCGAAAAGCCGGGCAGAAAGGGAGAACAGGUGUUCCAGAUGGAGGAAAUGGCAGGAUGGGGACCACUGUCUACGUGGAAACCGAAAAGGAGCAGCCGGGAGGGAACAGUUUUGAGAAAGAGGGAGGCACCAGCCAGGUCAGACGUCAAGCAAGACUAAAAACUGAGAUUUGACGCAGCCUACGCCCUCAGGGAGCCCCAAGUGAUUAUCACGACCGGGAAUUACAUUAUCUACUUGUUUACUAGCUGCCUCUCCGCUCCCACAGAAUAUCAGCUCUUUGUCCGUCUUGUUCUCUGGUGUAUCCCCAGUGCCUAAUGAUAUUUGAUAUGGAUCCAGGCAAGCUGACCCGCCGCCCAAUCAGCAAGCCUCCCUGGGUACCUCAGGCACUGGACCUCCAGACAUCCUUUAAUCCUCUCCCUUUGAAUGAACUUCAGUCAUCCUUCAUGACUCCUUCAUAUCCACUUCCUCCAGGAAGUCUCCCCAAGCUUCUCCCAGCUUCAACAAUCACUCCCUCACUGGCUGAAUGUUAAGCAGACACAGCAAUUCCAGUCUCACGGAACUGUGAUGAGAAUGAAAUGAGAUCAAGUUUGCAAAGGCCUGCAAAAGUCUGCAAAAAUCUGCAAAGGAGAGAGGCUGGCAUCAAACAGGCACUCAGGAGGUGGCAAGUCCUUUUCCACCCCUUUUUCCGGAAAGGGAAGCCUGAACAGAAGACACAGGGGGGCCACAGGACCUGGGCUUUCUAGGCCUCAGUCUCCUCUUUGAAAUGAAGCCAUUAGAUAAUUGAUGAAGCUAUUCAUUCACUUGUUCACUCAUUCAUUCAUUCACUUAACUUUUAUUUCAGCUCUGACAUUCUGUAUAGUAUGUCUUUUAUAUCCAUCAGUUCACCUGUGAGCCCCUUGAAAGCAGUGCCAGACUGUGUCUUAUUCCUCAGAAUCCCCUGAUGGCACCUAGCACAGUGCCUGGCACAGAGGGUAUGAGAAAAAACCCUCCUCAACAACCUGCCAAGGGCAUGUUUAUUGCUUCCCCUUCCCUGCCCCCAGAGAGCACCCAGCCCCAACUGGCACCAGGCACACCUCCCCUUCCCUUGCCCCAGCCCGAAACCAGAGCUGGCGCCACUGGGUGAGGAAUCUGGGGACCAACUGUCACAGCUCCAGUAUCACCUGCCUUCUGGACGCCUGGGUCCAGCCCUGAGUCCCAGAGGGGCCCUGUCAACCACCUGUCCUGGGGGGCCCAGGCUCCACCCCAGCCCCUCUGAGCUGCUCUCCCUGGGGAAAUUAGACAGUGCAGGGGACCUGGCAGGGGGAGGACUGGGGUGGCCCCAGGGAAGGAGUAGAGAUGUUUGUCCAGGUUCAAACCUCAAAUUGGGUCUUUGAGGCCCUUAGAGAUCAGGCCCACAAUGACAGAAGGAUCCACAGUGACCUACUCUUCCCUCCAAUCUCCCCAGUCUUGUAGAUCAUUUUUGCCCUUACUUUUAAUCCUGUUUUUCCAUGUUCUCUGGGUUAUGUAGGCUGCUUUCUUUCUGUGUCUUGUUGAGGGCAAGGAUCAAGUCUGAUCUUUCUUUGGUGUGGCCUACGAAUUUUGCUCAAUACAUUCUUUCAUUCUCAUUGACUGAAAUUAAUUAUUUAAUGAGUCAAGCAUGUUCCAGUAACAGAGAGGAAACUGGCUCUCAGCAGGAAGGAUGGUGGUUAGAUAGCAAGGGGGACUUCCCAUAAGGGAGUGGUAUUAAGAAAAGAAAAACGGGAACCCCAUAAGGCAUAGGAGAGGCGGCUCAGCUAACUA